AGGACGAACGCUGGCGGCGUGCUUAACACAUGCAAGUCGAGCGGUAAGGCCUUUCGGGGUACACGAGCAGCGAACGGGUGAGUAACACGUGGUGAUCUGCCCUGCACUUCGGGAUAAGCCUGGGAAACUGGGUCUAAUACCGGAUAUGACCUCCUAUCGCAUGGUGGGUGGUGGAAAGAUUUAUCGGUGCAGGAUGGGCCCGCGGCCUAUCAGCUUGGUUGGUGGGUAAUGGCCUACCAAGGCGACGACGGGUAGCCGACCUGAGAGGUGACCGGCCACACUGGGACUGAGACACGGCCCAGACUCCGUACGGGAGGCAGCAGUGGGGAAUAUUGCACUAAGUGGGACGUAAAGGCCUAGAAGUCGACAGCCGACGGCCGACGUGAGGGAUGGACGGCCGUUACGGGUUCGUAAACCGUUCUUUACGAGUACGAGGACGUAAGCGACGAAGUGACGUACUAGCGAGAAGAAGCGACCGGACGUAACACGU
rnacentral:rRNA from 1 species